UUUUCCUCUCUCUUCUCCACCCCAUUUUCGAUCUCUCUCCCUCUCCCUCAUCUCUCACUUCACUUUCCUCCAUUGUUAGCCAUUGAUGAAACCUUCGAAGCUUCACCCAAGUAUGCCAAACACAUAAAUCACUACUUAAAUCCUCCAUAAACACAUCCUAUUAACUUGAAUUCAAGAGAAUCCUUGAAGGAAGGCUUCAAGACUAGAGAGAGAAAGUUUGAGUUUUGGUGAAGAACUUGAACACAAGCAGAGCAAGGAAAUAAGUAACUCCGCUUUGACGGGAGUUUUUGAGUAAGGUCUUCAGGUGGGCAAUAUUUUGAGUAUAUGUUUAUCAUAUGAGCUUUCUAAAAUGAUGUAAUGAUGUUAAGAACUUAUCAAAUGUUUUGAGAUAAAUGAUGUUUGAGAACUGUUUGACUUGCCGAUUUUUGAUGUUGAGCUUGUGUGUUACCCUCUACUGAUGAGACGAAUUCGGUCCUGCCACAAGCGGGAUUUUGUGCACAGAGGUGACUGUGAGCCGUCUUCGGGUCGGCCGGUCACGGUACUUGAGAGGGAGGCCUACUUCUCAGUACCUUUGAUGAUGAGUAGUGGAUGUGGUACAUACAUGAUGAAUGUUUAAACUGCGCAGUUACUUAUUUAUGAUGUUGAUUAUGAAAACUGCAUGCACAGAUUCAUUGAUACUAACUUAUUUCUGUGUAUUGCUGAGAUGUGGCAAGCUUCAAACUUAUAGCUCUAAGAGCGCCUUUCUUGUUUUUCGGCGUUUGCCCACUGAGUAUUAUAUACUCACGCCCUGCAUGUAUUUCUAAAUGUGCAGGCUAAGCGAGGAGUGAGAUUGGUCUGGUGCUGGUGGGGGAUCGUUAGAUGACGUAUUUGCUUUAUCGUAUUUCCUUUUUAUCGAUAAAGUCUUGAUGUGAAGUUACUUUAAAUAUGAAUCAAGUAAUAUACUCACGGUUAUGUGUCUCCAUACAUGUAACUGGUUCGCCUUUUGCUGCGACACUCUGCAUUUUAUGUUUCCUUAUGAAAAAUAAGCUAUACCUGUUUUGUUUUUG